CCUACGGGUGGCAGCAGUGGGGAAUAUUGCACAAUGGGCGAAAGCCUGAUGCAGCAACGCCGCGUGAGCGAUGAAGGCCUUCGGGUCGUAAAGCUCUGUCCUCAAGGAAGAUAAUGACGGUACUUGAGGAGGAAGCCCCGGCUAACUACGUGCCAGCAGCCGCGGUAAUACGUAGGGGGCUAACGUUAUCCGGAAUUACUGGGCGUAAAGGGUGCGUAGGUGGUUUAUUAGGUCGGGGGGAAAAGGCUACGGCUCAACCGUAGUAAGCCUUUGAAACUGGGGAACUUGAGUGCAGGAGAGGGGAGUGGAAUUCCUUGGGUAGCGGUGAAAUGCGUAGAUAUUAGGAAGAACACCAAUUGCGAAGGCAGCUCUCUAGACUGUAACUGACACUGAGGCACGAAAGCGUGGGGAGCAAACAGGAUUAGAUACCCUUGUAGUC
rnacentral:rRNA from 1 species